rnacentral:ncRNA from 1 species
CCGGAACGCCGUGCCGGGGUUCGCGGACGAGGGAGCCGUACCCGCCCAGUGACAAGACGGCCAGA